AUAAUUUGUUUUUUAAUUAUUGACAAUUAAAAGUCGGCAAAUAAAAAAUGUAUAUUUGUACUAAAUACCUUGCAACUUUUUUAUAUAUUUCAAGAAUCGUUUCAGGUUUUACCAAUAUCGUUAUAAUGGCUGGCUGUCGUUGCGGCGCUACUGAAACUUCAAAAUGCAUCGUAUAACACGCGUAACAUGUUCAUAAAAGCAGAGUCGAUAAAUAUACGAAUACUUUCGUCAGCCACUGUAGUUCUUCGAUAGGCUGGCGACGAACAUUCUACGUCUUUGAAACUCGAAUUUUCGGUCGCUGUUAGUCUAAACGUAUGCUAAUUAGUCAAAUGGAUGCGCGUUCGUUGAUUCAGAGAAGUUUACAGAACUGCACCGAGAGAGAUUCUCCGUCUCUAUCCUCGGCGAAUAUUCAAAUCAGCCAUAAACCAGUCGUGUAUACGACGUGAAUAUACGUGGCAUUUAAAUUUUAAUUCGACGCCAAUUUGGUCCUCGGGAGCAGCAGUCAGCGAAAAGGUGAGCAACAGGAUCGUUGACGAUUACCUUUUUUCUCUGAUCCAAAUAAAUAGUACAGAUAUUUCAUAAGAACAAAGAUACGCGGACAAAAGAAAGUUUAUAAAAUAAGAAAUAUGAAAAGACAUCAUAAUUUUACAAAAUGUUUUUAUAUUUAGUAAAAGCAAUAAAUAGAUUUGUAUUUAGUAAGAGCAAUUAAAUACCACAGGCUGGAUGACUGUUAAUUAUACGGUAAUAAAUUUUUAGUGUAAAAGUUACGACAAUUCAUGGAGUAUCAAGUUAUUAACUUUCUUUCAUCGACUACCGUAAUGACGAAAUUAACUGAUUUGGUUAACGAUACAAUUAAAUCAAAAACUUACGAUAUCGUUCUGCAAGAGGGCAGGGGGAGGGGAAUCUUUUUGUUGCAGAACAAAAAUAACCUAACCCCAAAUCAAGCGAAAAUUUUCACACAAAAGAUUGUCUGUUCUAAAAAGGAAUAAAGAAACAUUUAUCAAGCGAGAAAAUUAAUUCCGAGUGUUUCUUAAACAGAAUUCAAAUUUUAUUUAUGGAUAAAUAAAAACUUAAUCGUUGAUAUAAUGUCCGUCACUUGCCUAAGUUAUGUGAAAUUACGUAAAUGCAGACGGCGUUUUUUUCUAAAUUGCUAUAUGAAAUAAAAAAAAAAGGAUAUUUAUAUUUAAAAUAUUUUAAAAUUGCCCGCCCAUUUUAGUAAUUAUUUUUGGCUUAAAUAUUUACCCGUUUCAUAUCAGUUUUAACGAAAUGUCAUCUACAUUUACCACCGUACAUUAUGGAUCCACCGUGUAUCGAAUAAUAGAAAUUAUGUUAAUGAUUUGAAGCUUACGUCACAGCGAAAUUUGAAUACUCCUCGAAAAGGUGGCGAAUUAAUUUACAAGCCAAAUAAUUAUCAGAGACGAGCAAAACUGAAAAGUUAUCGAAUUAAUGUACUAACAUAACGUAUGGUUUCUUGAGUCUCUUAUAAUCAACUGUUAUUAUCAGAGGAGAAAAUGGAUGGAUUAAACCUGAUCGGAAAUUCAAUCUCGCCCAUGAUACAAUCGAAACCUCGAUAACAGUAUCGUAAACUCGAGUGUCGUUUAAUCGAUUCGCGAUUGACGCGCUCCUACCUCGAGGAUCAAAUUUCCCUAUAAACGUCCGUCUGCUAGUGACAUGCGUAUAUUCGACGAAUUGGGUCGAAUUCGAGUCGAGAAACGACAGCACAGAAUUGAGAAUCGAAUUAAUUAAGAUGCCUCGAGUGGUUUCCACUUUCGUGGUUUUCGUUCUCCGAUUACAUUAAAAACUCAAGGAUUCCUUAAGAAAACUAGGUCUCGAAAAGAAUUCUUCAGAAAGAAACUUGAUUUUAACCUUACAUGAUUAAAUUUGAUCAUGUUUCAGUUAAAUAUCUUCAGGACAUAACACAUUUGCUGCCACGAUGAUGAUCGGUAACCCACGUUACUAAAUAUUUUAGCACGAUUCAAGUAUUAUAGAUUUCAGGAGCUAAAAAUGUUCGAUAACGUGAGUGACAUAGAUAAUAUUAUGAAAAAGUGCACGAGUACAAUACAAUAUUUUGCAAAAAUUCAAUAUUAUGGUGUAGUAUAUUUUAAUCUACUGUAACUCCCAUGACACAAGAUGUAUAAUAUAUAAAAUUCGCAUGAUAAGCAACAUGUUAAUGUCACACGUUCCUAACUCUCUCAGAUAGCAAAGGAUUUCUAAGAAAAGAGAAAAGAUAAUAAGAGUCUUUCAGGGAGCAAAAGGUUCCUAGAAAAAAAGAAAGGAUAAUAACUCUUCAAAAAGGAACAUAAUCUUUAAGAUUAUAUGAUCUAAGUUUGAUUGUGUUUCAAUUAAAAAUCUUCAAGAUUUUAUGUUAAUUCAUUUUUGUCUUUCAGAGAGCAAAGGGAUCCUGGAAAAAAGAGAAAAAAUAAUAAUUCUUUAAAAAGAAACAAGAUCUUUACAAUAAUACAUAUAUUUAAGAUUAUAUGAUUUGAUUGUGUUUUAGUUAAAAAUCUUCAAGGCUUAAUGUUAGUUCAUUUCUAAAUCUUCCAGAGGAUAAAGGGUUUCUUAAAAAAAGGAGAAAGAAAAUACUGAAAAUUCGCAUAAAUCCCGACAGCUAUGUAUCAAGUAGAAUUGCCGGGAAUUGCCAUAGUAGGACGUUUAUAGUAGAAAUUUGGUGCCGGUCGGAGAAAGCUUGGCGUGCUUUUAAAGAUUGCAUGAGCUACGUUUAGCGGGGAAAAUAACAUGUUGGACAUAAUGUCCGGAAUAUUUUAGUAUUCGGCUAAACGACGAGAAGUUGGGUGUUUUAUGGGGUCGUUACUGUCGCGCAGUGUCGAGGACCAUCGUAAAGAAGCGGGCGCAGUCAAGUGAAUUUAAAAUUACGCCAGUCGGCAUUAACAUUUCGUUGAAAUUCUUUUUAACAGCUCUAUACCAUCGUGACAUACCUAAAUUACGACCAACAACCACGCUUGUUUUCCGGAGAAAUUGCGUGACGAAAAUAGGGAUAAAAGCACAGCGUGGAUUAACGCAAAUUAAGUAACGCGAGUAUCUGGAACCACGACGAUUUAAUUCAUUUUCACUUACCUUACUUAAAUUACCUUAUUUAAAUGUAAAAGUCCGUAAUUCGUUUUAUGAAAUAUUACGAGACGUAAUUGUUCAUAUUUUUAUUGUCGUGAUUCCAAAACUGAGUAGCCUGCGGACAUUUAUGAAAAAUACAUAUUUUUAUAAACAUAAUUAACGAACUGGAAUCUGAAUAGAGCAUUGUUUUGCCUAUUGAAUAUUAUAGAACAAAGAAUACUGUACUUUCUCUAUUUGGUGUUUUUGCAUAUUACACAUAUUCUAUGCAAAUUUGCUGUUUUAAAUUUCUCAUAAACGCAUAAAAAUCCGUAGUCUACUUGUGAGUGAAUUGGAUCACUGAACCAGCGUCUUUUAAAUAAUAUUUAUUCUGAUUUUAAAAUAUAUGCACAACAGCUUAGGUGUUAUUCACAAUUAGGUAUUUUCUUUCCUUCUUUUUUUUUUGAUUUACAAUUGUAUGUAUAUAUAAUCUUUACAAUUUGCAAUGAGGUAAAACUAAGUUAUCAAAGAUAUUACGACUGAGAAUAGUUCGUAAGAAUUGAAUUCAAAAUCGUCUAACUAAUCGGCCUUCCGGUUUACCGUCAAGAAUCUGACAAUGAUCACAGAUCAGUAGAACGUCGAUUCGAUUUACGUCAACGGGGACAAGAAAGACCUAGUGUAUAAUAUUUGAUAGUUACAUCAUCGUAUAAUAAUCGUUUCGUUAAAUUAUCUUUUAUAUCAUUUUUUUUCUUAUUUUCUUUUUCUUUUUCCUUUAUCAUUAUACGAUUGGGAUAUGAGAUGGUCGAUCAUGGAAGCGAGCUUAAUUACUUGUGUUUCUUUCGCUUGAAUAAUAUACAUAAUAAUCUUUUGGUUUUUUUCAAUUUAAUUAGUUCCUUUAAUCCUAAUUCGCUUAUUUAGUUCCCCUCUGAUAUUAUAUCUUUUGUGCAAUCACGUAACUAUUUUGUCUGUGUUGUUAGGUCUCCCGCUAACGAGUGGUCGUAACAGGCGAAACAUCGAAGCCUGUGAACAGAGAUCGAAAUUCCAAUAUAUAUCAAAUCUCCUUGUUUCUUUCUUAAAAAUUUUAAACUAUCAUUGAUAUCCAUAGCGAGAAUCGUUGAUUUACAUUCGUUACUUUAAUAAUCGUGGGACCGUGUAAUGCCUCCUGCCGGCGUCAUUUCACAUUUCGAUCUCUGUUGGGACAGAACGUGAACGUUACCGGCAAACACAAAGAACAGGUGUUCUUCAGAAACGCUCUGUGAACAAAAGCAAACAGUUUUUGUGUUUUAGGCCGUUUGGAGAAACCUUCGAUUCAAUAUCUAAAAUGAAACAACAGAUUUUUCAUGAAGCAAUGCGAUAUGAAAAGUAAAAUAGGAACAAAAAAUGAAGCACCUGAUUGGCUUGUUUAAGACGCUAGCUUUAUGAAAAGUAGAAAUUGUUCAAUUCCUUCGAGCCGCGUAUCUGAUUCUUCCUGUUCUUUUCUCCCCUUUAGCACAAGCUUGAUAAUCGCGUCCGCUGCGUAUCUCUGUGUAUGUAUAUAUAUGUAUGUAUGUGAGACGGCGAAUAUCUUCUGUCCUUCCAUUAAACCCGACAAAUAUUCGUAGCGACAUUAAAAAUCGUGACGACGACGAUAAUAAAGAGAUAAAUCUUACUAAGAACGAUGAUUAGAGAUUAGUGCAGAAAUAUCGAGAAAAAUCGCUUCGACGAUGUGGCGGUAUAAAAACCAAAGUGUAUUGAGCUGCGAAUGCAUAC